UUAUUCCUUGCCAUCCAAAUAAAGGACAAAUUCCAAUUGAUUAAAUGGAGUUUCAUUCAUCUCUUGGGCAGCUGUCGUUUGUUGAUGCAUGCAAAGUGCUCGGUCCAAAAUCAGAAAAUGAAGUCUUUAAGGUUGGCUAAUAGUGCAAGCCUUAAGUUGCCUAUUUCUCAACAGCUAUACAUUCUAUUUUGAGCUAUCACUUACCGAGCGUGAUGUCAUGAGUCACUAAACAAGAAGCUGUUGGUUUCCACUUUCUUGGUACAAAUAAGAAGUUGAAGUACAGCAACAUGAAGGAAUUGAGAGGAGCAAAGCUUUGUGAAGAUGUCCAGCAGCUAUGCCUUUUUUGAUUAGCGAAAUGAUGUAGUCCAUGAAGCCUGAAUCACAGGGUAAUGUAGUAGGGCCACCACUUGGCAGUCCAAACACUUUUUCAGACAUGUUUAAAAAUUGCGUAAUGGCAUUGUUUUGAAGAUAAGCCAAGGGAAACACAUUGCCUAUGAUCUAUUGUAUAGACUACAAAGUGGCCUUUUCCAACUAUAGAGGAUGAGGAUGUACUGCAACCAUCUGCAUUACUGCUAUUUCUUGGAAAUGAAAUCCUCCUCCUUUGCAUGGCUGCAAACUUCCGCCAUCUCCCGGCCAUCUUGAUGAAUUUCUUAGCGCUGAGGAUUGCCAUUCUUCUUGGAAGAUUGGAUACAAGAAAGUAAACUAGAAACUUAGAACAAUUUGGUGUCUGAAUAGAUAAUGCUUGUAAGUUGAUGAUGAAAACAUAUCAAAUGAGGGGGAUAUUUAUUAAAAGGUUGUAGACAGGCUGUGGGUUGGAACUGAAGUUUGUGUCACUAACCACCGAGGGCAAAGCCAUAUGCCUAUUUGUUGGCUAUGUUUAUAUGGGACCUUUAGUUUGUGGAUCGAAGGUCUUUUACAGUGUGGUUCGAGCUUAAGAAGAUGAAUUAUAGAGUGAUCACGCGAAAACAAAAUGCAGGGAGGAGGUGAUCUUGAUUUAUACAUGGUAAGAAAUAAAGGGUCAGAAAAAUAUUAUACGAGAGUUUGCAAACAUGCCAUAACAUGGAGUUGAUUGGCAAUUUUGAGAGAAUUUCUACCAUAAUCACCCCUGGAAGAUCCAUAAAUCUGGUUCUUCUAUGAUUAGGCUUGAAGAAGCUUAUUAUUUGUUUAAAGAGAGUGAAAAGCUUAGAGUUUUUAGGUUUAGGUUCUUGGCCUCCAUCUCUCUUUGUGUACAAACAAGCGUUGUUUUGUUCAAAGAUAAAUGUUCGGCAGAAGCAAGAAGAUUAACUUAUGUAGUCAAAUUACUUUCUGAAAAAGGCUGCCAGGAGUAACUUUAUAUACCAAAAAUAUGACUUGCUCCGUUUUGUAUUAUUUGACCCCAUGAAAGGUAGAUCCGGAACCUAAAUGACAAACCACAUAGUUAUAAGCGACUGAAUAAGGACACAAAGUCAAAAGUGAUACCACAAUAUGCUUUAGCGCACUAAAAUAGUGUGCUAUGGUGCCUUUUUAAAGGACGUUUAAAAUAUAGGCAUAGCACACUAAAUUAGUGUGCUAAGCCUAUUUUAGUAUCUCUUUAACUUAGUGCCUUAUUUCAGUCACUCAACUAUUUGGGGGUUAUUUAGGUUCCAGACUCUGUUUUAUGCUUGAAUAAAAACUUGGUAUAUCCUUUACAAGCAGAAAAUCCUUUUUAGCACUACUAUACAAAAUGAUUGAGAAAAAACAAGGAAUUGUUUUCUCUAUUUUUCAAGUCCCACUCAAAUGGAAGUGACCUCUCUACUAUAUCUCAUCUUUCUCAUUUCUAAUCCUACUGCUUUACAAAAUUCAUGAGCAGAAGAAUUUGCUCCUCAAGCAGAAAGUGAGACCAAUGAACACAUCCUCUUUGUAAGGUAUUGUAAGACCGUCCAUUGGAUGAUCAAAGGCAAACUAUUCUUCAGCUUGAGCUAAAGUGAUACCAAAAUAGGCUUAGUGGUGAGCUAUACCUAUAUUUUUAAAUGUCCCUCCUCAUGUUAAUAAGGUUAAUUUUAAAAAGGCUGCAUAGCGCACUAAAAUAGUGUGCUGAGCCUAUUUUGGUAUCAUUUUAACUUCGUGUCCUAUUUCAGUCACUUUCAACUAUUUUGGGUUCAUUUAGGUUCAAGAUGCUACCUUUCAUGGGGUCAAAUAAUACAAAAUGGAGGGGGUAUAUAUUAGGCAUAUUUCCUGGCUUUUACUACACUACCUUUUUCAGAAAGUAUAUUUGACUACAAAAUUUCAUUUUCUUGCUUCUGCCGAACAUUUAUCUUUGAAAAGAACAACGGUUGUUUGUACACAACCCCUAUUAAUUGAUGUUUAGUAUUAGGUAUUGGGAAAUGAUUUGGAGAAUAAGUAAAUAAUACAAGGGUAAAACAUGGAAAAAGAGUAAUUGUUUUUUCCUGAUAUGUCAAAAGUGACGAGUAAAAAUGGAAAUCCAUUUUAGAAAUAAGUGGCAAGUAAAAGUAAACGGAUGAAGUAACAUACAAUCUGUUUUGGGCUAACAUUUAUAAACAUACUUUCGUACAUGCUAUAAAGAGGCUCUUUUGUAAAGUAGAUACUUGGUUGUACAGUGAGAGAUACAUGGAGGCCAAGAACCUUAAACGCAAAAGAUCUAAGCUUUUCGCUCUCUUUAAUCCAUUACUAAGAUUCUUCAAGCAUAAACAUAGAAGAACCAGAUUUGUGGAUCUUCCGAGGGUGAUUAUAGUAGAAAUUCUCUCAAUAUUGUCAAUCGAGUCCAUGUUAAGUUCUAGGUGUGUUUGCAAACUCUGGUAUAAUUUUUUUUCUGACCCCUUAUUUCUUACCAUGUAUAAAUCAAGAUCACCUCCUCCUUGCAUUUUGUUUUCGCGUGAUCACGAUAUAAGUCAGCUUCUUGAACUCGAACCACAUUGUAAUGAUUAUUCUUCUAGACUCCAUAACAGACCUAUUUUAUUAAGCUGCCCUGAGUUUAACACACUAGUGAAACGGCGAAUGGACAUUCUAGUUGAGGAUUACCCAGUGUUGAGAUUAAUUGGUUCAUGUAAUGGAUUUAUUGGUUUCAUGACUAAUAUAUAUGAUAUAAAUGCUUCAAUUUACAUUAGCGAUCCUCUUUUGGGUGAGUAUUUCAAACUUAUAUUGUCCGAAUUAGAGAAAAGUGUUUGUCGUGUUGCUUAUGGAUUUUGCUUUAGUGAAGUCUCUGGAAGGUAUAAGUUAGUGAGAUCAGUGACUAAAAGUUUUGGGGGUCAUCUUGAAGUAUCAGAAUUGGAGGUUUGUAUUCUUGGAGUUGAUGAGAAAUGGAGAAAUUGGGGCCAAGUUCCAUAUCCUGUAUGGCAAGAUUUUGGCCAGGUUUGUGUGAAUGGGGCUCUUCAUUGGAUGGAUCCCAUCAAUAAGGACAACAUUUACUCAUUCGAUAUUAAGACUGAAAAGCUCAAGUCUGUGCCAGGUUCACCUGGUCUGGUAUUUCCAUUCAAACAUUUGACCCAAGCAGAGUUGGUGAGAUCUAGACGUCCACCCUCAGGUUUGACGUUAGUAGAGUUGGUGAAUUGUCUAUGCUUAACUGAUGAUGGUGGUAGCAGUUUUGGCAUAUAUGGUGGACCCUCAGGUUUGACGUUAGUAGAGUUGGUGAAUUGUCUAUGCUUAACUGAUGAUGGUGGUAGCAGUUUUGGCAUAUAUGGUGGAUGAAAGAGUAUGGAAUAGCUGAAUCUUGGACUAAAGAUCGCAUUUUCACUUGUUUGGGAAUAGCUGGAUCUUGGACUCAAGAUCACAUUUUCACUUGUUUGGGGACGGCUGGUUUGGGGCUUUAUAUUUGUUAUCAUAAAUAUUUACCAAUCCUUAUCUGGAAUGAUGGUUAAAUCUUGAUGCCAGGAAAAAAAGGCUCAUAGCUACUUUCUUACAACCCAAAAGCCAAGAUUUUUAGGAUGAUCCCCCUUAGCAGGGGUAUUGCAACGGUAGCGACUAGAUAUCUUCCAAGUUUUUACUCACUCAAGACUAUCGUGGGGAACAACUUUCAAGUCUCAAAUGUUUAUCCGAAUGAAGGCUGAGAUAGUUUAGAUAUUUUGUUUGUCUUAUUUCCUCCAUGGUAUUAUGUUUUGCUUGUACUUCUCUGGGGUAAUUUGGUUUAGAACAACUUUUGCUUUUUGUGGAUGGUUUUGAAUUCUGAUAAGCGACUGUCUGUAUAUGUUCAUUUUGUCCAUUUCAAUUUUCCAAGUUAUUUGCAUUGCAAAAGUCUCCAAAACUGCAUUUUCUUUUUUCAUUUCAUGCUGCACUUCUCUGAAUAGAGUGAACUACAAAAGGAACAAACGUCAGCGUAUAGUCAUGCAUAUUUACUUUGAAGAAGUGCAAUUUUAUUGGAAAAGGUACUCUGCUGCAGACUAUUUUUUUUGCCCGCAAUAAAAUACCCUACUCCAAGAAGAGAAUGUUAAUACUUCUUGAUUCCCAAAUUGAAAAAUGAGUUCUAUAGAUCUGUUUCUCUCUGUAAUAGUACAAUUUUUCAGUUGCCUAUUUUUCACCUACUAUACAAUCUAGUUUGAGAUAUCAUUUACAAAACAUGAUACUCCAUAAGCAAGAAGUUGCUGGUUUUGACUUUCUUGCUGCCAAGAGGAAGUUGAACAGAAACAUGAAGGAAUUGAGAGGAGUAACGCCUUGUGAAGAUCUACAGCUACAGCUUUCUUUAUAAGCAAAAUAGUAUAGUCCAUGAAGGCUGAAUCACAGGGUAAUGUAAUGGGGCCAGCACUUGACAGGCCAAACUCUUCUUCGGAUAUGACUAAAAGUUGCCUAUUACCUCAUUUUCAAGCGGAUGAGGAUGUACUGCAACCGUCUGCAUCACUGCCAUUUCGUGUAAAUGAAAUCUUCCUCCUUUGCAUGGCUGCAAACUUCUGACAUCCCCUGGCCAUUUUGAUGAGUUUCUUAGCGCUGAGAAUUGCCAUUUUCCUUGGAAGAUUGGAAGCAAGAAAGCAAAUUAUAAAUUUAGAAUAAUUUGGUGUCUGAAUCGAUAAUGUUUGUAGUAGUUGAUGAAAACAUAUCACAGAAGGGAUGUUAGUUAUACAAAAGGCUGUAGACAGGCUUUUUGUUGGAGCUGAAGUUUUUGUCUCUAACCACCGAGGGCAAAGCCAUGUUCUGAUGCUUGUUGGCUGAUGAAAACAUAUCACAUGAAGGAUUAUAAGUUGUCUAGUUUAAAUCGAAGAGAUUGAUGCAUUUAUUCAA